rnacentral:tRNA from 2 species
GCAGGUGUGGUGGAAUUGGUAGACACGCUAGCUUCAGGUGCUAGUGCCCUUACGGGCGUGGAAGUUCAAGUCUUCUCACCUGUACCA